rnacentral:rRNA from 1 species
GCAAGUCGAACGAAGGCCCUAGCUUGCUAGGUGUCCUUAGUGGCGCACGGGUGAGUAACACGUGGGAACAUACCUCAUAGUACGGAAUAACUGCGGGAAACUGUAGCUAAUACCGUAUAUUCCAGAAAUGGGAAAGAUUUAUCGCUAUGAGAUUGGCCCGCGCAAGAUUAGCUUGUUGGUAAGGUAACGGCUUACCAAGGCUCCGAUCUUUAGCUGGUUUGAGAGGAUGAUCAGCCACACUGGGACUGAGACACGGCCCAGACUCCUACGGGAGGCAGCAGUAGGGAAUAUUGGACAAUGGGGGAAACCCUGAUCCAGCAAUGCAGCGUGAGUGACGAAGGCCUUAGGGUUGUAAAACUCUUUCAUCGGUGAGGAUAAUGACAGUAGCCGAAGAAGAAGGACCGGCUAAUUCCGUGCCAGCAGCCGCGGUAAUACGGAAGGUCCUAGCGUUGUUCGGAAUUACUGGGCGUAAAGCGCAUGUAGGCGGAACAAAAAGUUAGAAGUGAAAUCCCUGGGCUCAACCUAGGAAUUACUUUUAAAACUUUUGUUCUGGAAUUCAGGAGAGGAAAAUGGAAUUUCCAGUGUAGAGGUGAAAUUCGUAGAUAUUGGAAGGAACACCAGUGGCGAAGGCGAUUUUCUGGACUGAUGUUGACGCUGAGAUGCGAAGGCAUGGGUAGCAAACGGGAUUAGAUACCCCGGUAGUCCAUGCAGUAAACGAUGGGUGCUAGUCGUCGGACUUUUGUUCGGUGUCGUAGCUAACGCGUUAAGCACCCCGCCUGGGGAGUACGGUCGCAAGAUUAAAACUCAAAUAAAUUGACGGGGACCCGCACAAGCAGUGGAGCAUGUGGUUUAAUUCGACGNCACGCGAAGAACCUUACCAGCGUUUGACAUGGGAAGUGCCGGUUACAGAAUGGUAACCUUCAGUUC